rnacentral:lncRNA from 1 species
GGAAAGUCAUCUGAAGCAGCACUUACUGGAGCAAAGUCGAAUGAACAAAUGGAACCUCAACCAUGUACCUCCUUACCCUUUCUUUACCUUUAAUAAACGAUCUUUUCUAUAGCUUAUUUUUUUGUGUUCAAAAUCUUUAUGAUGAUGGCUUAUGCUAUGCAGGCAACCCAUUUGAUUGGAACACAACUCAAAUGUACCAGCAGCUGCAGCAUGUAUUGAAAAUUCUCAGGUGUAAUACCCCUUUUACUCCUUCAAUUUGGGCUAGAAAAUAUGAGUAUUUUCUUAAUUUUUGUUAAUAUUUUUUUUAUUUUCACUUUUCAUGUAAGGAAAUUUGGGCCGAAUCUUUUAGGUGGCACAUGCUAUAAGAGAACAAAGUAUAUGGUUUGCAUAUGAGAUCUUGGAGAUGUUCUGUGACUUUGCUCUUGCAUGAGUUUGUAUUAUUGAAAGGAAGAGGUAAAUCCAUUUGAAAAAUGCUUACACCUAUAAUUUGUUCUUAGUGUUGUUAUAAAUCGGUAGAGUAGCAUUAUUUAUAACUCAUAAUUUAAAUUACAUUUAUGCAUUUACACUAUGAUUAGGAAACUUGAAAGAGCAAUAGGUUCAGUAAGUGAUCUUAAAUACAAUCAAAUUCUAAGGGUGUAGUUUGAUAUUUCACUUUCUACAUAACCCAAAAGAUUUUACCUGGUUAUAAACAUUAUACAUUAUCAUAAUUGUUUUUUAGUUUUAUACUAUUUAUGAUUGUUUCUAUUCAACUUUGAGGACAUUUCAUUUUUCUGACUACUUCUACACUGCAAGAAAAUCAGAUGAUGUAGGCGAAUCGGUCAAUUAUCUAUAUUAUAAAUACUCUGAUAUUCCCAUAUAUGCUGUUGGAACAAGCCUUAGUACAAAAAAAUGUUUCUAACUAAUAUGCAAUAAUAAAGAUUGAUGAAUUAUAGUAAGAAUGACUGAUCUUGCAAGUGAAAUAUCUUACUGAGGAAGGAGAUAAUGUACCACCUCGAUGUCAUAAAGAUGACAAAAAUCUGGUAAAACUAGAUGGAAAUGUUGAUGAUGUUUGGAAUAAAUGAGAAGUGUACUAUGCGAAAUUUGAGGGAUCAGUAGCUAUGUAUGAUAUAAAAUUGCAUGUUGUGAAUUGUAGGCUUCUUACCUAUUACUAUUGUCAGUAAAAAAGGAUAUACAAAAUUUUGUCUGAGGUUGACAUGGAUUGUUGUUGCUGUUGGACUAAAGAAGAGGUAGGGGUAAAGUAGGAAGGACUGCAGGUAUGCUGGCUAGGUUGUGGAAGGGAUACCCAAAGGGUUGCUUGGGUUUUAUGUCUUCCGUUUUACUUCAUUAUGGUUGACCUGAGCAGGUUGUAUUAUACUACUUUCUGAAAUUGAAGUGUAGACGCAUUGGUUGAUGUGAUUUUUAUCAAUUUAUAUAAAAUAUUCCAUGAAUCCUUUUAAUUGACAAAUUAAUUCCUAAAUUUGCGAAUUGGAUUAUGUUUUUCAUGUCAAAAUCAAGAAUUAGUGUAUACGAACAAAUGUAGCAUAAAAG